GACGAACGCUGGCGGCGUGCUUAACACAUGCAAGUCGAACGCGCCUGUCCUCUGGGUUUCUGGGGGGUGGUUGAGUGGCGCACGGGUGAGUAACACGGGUGUAACCUGCCCCCUUCUUCGGUAUAACGGUCUGAAAGGGCUUCUAAUACCGGGUAUUCACUGGUCUCCGCAUGGGGUCUUGUGGAAAGGUUUUUUUCUGGCGGGUGAUGGGCUCGCGGCCUAUCAGCUUGUUUGUGAGGUUAUGGCCCACCAAGGCAAUGACGGAUAGCCGGCCUGAGAGGGUGAUCGGGCACACGGGAACUGAGACGCGGUCCAGACGCCCACGGGAGGCAGCGGGAGGGAAGCUGGGGAAUUGGGCGAAAGCCGGACAGAGCAACGCCGCGUGAGUGAUGAGGGGGUUGGGAGCGUAGGGCUCUGUAAUUAGGUAAGACCGUGUGUGAAAGGAACUGUGCGCAGCUUGGCGGGACCUGGUCAGAAAGCCACGGCUAACUACGUG
rnacentral:rRNA from 1 species